AAAUGUUUUAGGUUGUGAGUCAGCAAUUAAGGGUUAUACCUACCCAAGGCCUUUAUGGGCAUUUCCUAUCCUUAUGAGGGUAAAACUGUCCUUACUAUUGAGAAGUAAGUAGUUUUAUCCUUUGGAUGUAAAAGGGACAUCGUAGGGUCAUCGAUUGGUCAUUGAAGGCAACAUUUGUAAGGAUACCUUAGCAUUCGAAGGGACAAUCAUCAUUUAACCGUAGGCUACAACGAAG
rnacentral:lncRNA from 1 species